rnacentral:ncRNA from 1 species
GGCUGGUCCGAGGGGUGCUCCGAUGUGAGCUGAGAUGGCGCAAAGCCGAACCCUUAGAACCUGAUCCGGGUCAUGCCGGCGAAGGGACGGAAACCUUUAGCCAU